rnacentral:tRNA from 1 species
UGCCUGCUGGCUCAGACGGUAAAGCAUCUGCCUACAGUGCAGGAGACCUGGGUUUGAUCCCUGGGUUGGGAA